AGUGAACGCUGGCGGUAGGCCUAACACAUGCGAGUCGAACGGCAGCACAGUAAGAGCUUGCUCUUACGGGAGGCGAGUGGCGGACGGGUGAGGAAUACAUCGGAAUCUACUUUUUCGUGGGGGAUAACGUAGGGAAACUUACGCUAAUACCGCAUAAGACCUACGGGUGAAAGCAGGGGAUCUUCGGCCCUUGCGCGAUUGAAUGAGCCGAUGUCGGAUUAGCUAGUUGGUGGGGUAAAGGCCCACCAAGGCGACGAUCCGUAGCUGGUCUGAGAGGAUGAUCAGCCACACUGGAACUGAGACACGGUCCAGACUCCUACGGGAGGCAGCAGUGGGGAAUAUUGGACAAUGGGCGCAAGCCUGAUCCAGCCAUACCGCGUGGAUGAAGAAGGCCCUCGGGUUGUAAAGCCCUUUUGGUGGGAAAGAAAAGCAGCAGGUUAAUACCCCGCUGUUCUGACGUUACCCAAAGAAGAAGCACCGGCUAACUUCGUG
rnacentral:rRNA from 1 species